rnacentral:lncRNA from 1 species
AGAAGGUCGACUGGUUGAGAAGGCAAUCGAAAGAGUGGCAGAGCGAAAAAGAAAAGAAAGGAAACGGAAGGAACAAAUCGGCAGCAAAGAGGCGUAAUGGACUGGGAGGAAAUCGGCAGAAAACAAAAGCAAAGAAAUAAGGAAGGAAAUCGGAUGAAGGAACAGAAGAGAAACAAGGGGAUGGGGGGAGGGCAAAUCAGGGAGGUGAUGCUCAACCGGUAGCUAAUCUGGGCAAAGAGGGGGGAAUAGAAAUCG